AUGUGGCACAAGACCGGCAAUACCUUGCCGGUGGUGGUCAACGGUCGGCAGACGGGCAGCAAAAAGGUUCUGCUACUGCACACCAACAAGAACUUCGACCAGCAGAGGACCAACUUGGUGAUGCACCAGUACCACCUCGGGGACCUGGAGCAAGAGAAGGAGCGGGAGCUGGUCCUCUGGAAGAUUUUCUACCAGAUGAACACUAGGGCCAGGAGUCGAGCAAGUUUCUACUGGGCUGUAGACUGCCCAGGCUUGGUUUUGUUUUUAACAGGCCCAGCCCAUAACGACAACGAGGCACAAAGAUCCAGCAAGUAUCUACUGGCCUUUGGCCCGCCAUCGUUUGGGCAUAAGAUACAAGGGGAAUCGGACGAGGAUCUCACAGCGGUCCUCGUUGACGAGCCCGGGAGGUUGGGGAGGUGCCGAGGGAGGAGAUCCGAGGCAGGGCAGUGGUGUCCGAAUGCGGAGAAGCACUCGAUCCCAAUGAAGAGGCGGCUCCCGGCUCGCGUUCUGCGGUGUAGAGGAAGUAGCCGGUGGAAGCGGAGCUCCGGGAUGCCUGGGAGAGGGACGGGGGCGACGGUUGCCGCGGUGGACGACGGAGGCAGCGACUGGAGGUGCUCGUGUGGAGAAGAAACUUAG
rnacentral:rRNA from 1 species